rnacentral:tRNA from 1 species
UGGGGAGUCGUCUAGGGGUAGGACACAAGACUCUGGAUCUUGCUGCGAGGGUUCGAAUCCUUCCUCCCCAGCCA